CCUACGGGUGGCUGCAGUAAGGAAUAUUGCGCAAUGGACGAAAGUCUGACGCAGCAACGCCGCGUGCAGGAUGAAGGCCCUUUGGGUUGUAAACUGCUGUAGAAAGGGAAUAAUAGUUUGCCACGGGUAAACUUGAAGGUACCUUUAAAGUAAGCGCCGGCUAACUACGUGCCAGCAGCCGCGGUAAUACGUAGGGCGCAAGCGUUGUCCGGAUUCACUGGGUGUAAAGGGUGCGCAGGCGGAUUGGCAAGUCAGAGGUGAAAUCUCACGGCUCA
rnacentral:rRNA from 1 species